GAAAAUCAGGCGAUCAGGCUCACCCGACGCCGCCACAUGACCGCAGCUGCGCUCGCUCGACCGAGGCGGCACGACAGGCGGCCAGGCUCCUGUUGCGCCUUCCUCCUUUCUCGGUGCCUCCUCCUCGCGGUCGCAGGCUCGCAGCCAGGGCGUGGUCGUGGCCUGUGGGUGCCUGUUCACGGCCUCGCAGGGAGCAGCCGAGCAGGCCCCCUGACGCCAGCUCACGGCUGCGGCGGCCACCGAGGCGCAGGCAGGCAGCGCCGCAGGGGCUGGGGCGUAGGGCGUGGCCUGGCCGGCUGCCCGGCUCACCCCCUCGACAGUGAUUCGGUGAAGCCACCAGGGAGCCCCUGAUCCACCCUUGUCCAGAAGCUGAAGGCAUGAGUGAGUUAAAUGAAGGAGUUGUUAUUAAGGACAUAGAGGUGGAAGAGGCGAAUGCAACAAAUCUUCACUAGACAAUGGGGUCUAACGCCUCAGCCAGUAGCACUGCACCAGUACCGUCACGUCACCUCGCCUUGCUGUGCACACUACUACUAAUAAAAAGGAACAAAAGUUUAUCUUCAUGUGCCCAAGAGCUCCUCUAGUACCAUUAGCCGCUGCAGGACUCAAGAUAUUGACUAUCGUACCAGCCAAAACAGUUCCAGAGUACACACGAACAAUGGCAAUUGGUUCAUG